AUAGUAUGAAUGGUAAGUUGAGACCUUUAAGGUCGUUUUGGGACGUGUAUGCGACAGAGCUGAUAGAGAGUACCAGAAGGGAUGAGAAAAAACAAGCAGGGUCAACUUCUGAUUCUGUGAACACAAUACAGAAACCAGUGGACCUCGCUUUUGCUGAGGAAUAUUAGGACUUGCUGAUGGCAAUCACAAAGCAUCGAGGCCUUGCCCUUUUAUGUAAAUUAUACAGCUUCACCAUAGACCUGAGUAAUGUAAUCUACUUCAGCCGUACAAGGUAUGGGCAUCGAUGUACAAGGAACAGAUAGUUGCUAUAAAGAACAUUACUGAACCAGUGGUGUGGAUGUCAUCACGGUUUCAAUAUGAAAAAGAAAAUGACAUACGCAGAGGAUCAGGAUUGAAGACGUAUACUUUUGUUUCAAUUUGCACAACCCAGUAGUCAUUCAGUAAGUUUUUAGCAUUUUCGAAAUUAAGAACAUGGUUAUGGAAUUGGAUGCUUGUUACCUCAUCCAUUUUCUUUCUAUCUUAUUACUGAGGUUCAGAAAAGGUUAGUCUUUUGCAUUCUCUUCUGUUACAGAACCUACAAGCUCCGGCAUAUUCUUGACAACGUUAAAAUCAAAAGAGAAAAAACGGAACAUGGGAAAUUGAAUGUGUUUUUUUGUGAGCUCCUGAGGGAUCUGUGUUCUUGCCAGACAAGAAAACAACUCAUCAGGAUUAGGAUGGAGAUAUCUCGAUCAACGAAAUUUGACAUCCUCAUUUUUGUACCGACAAAGGGAUGGUGUGUCAGCUCUCGUAAAUUCAUCAGUCGAAAUUUCACUUAAUCCCAGUAACCACAAAAAAGGAAAAUUCCUAAACAACUACCAAAAUCCUGAAUCUCUCUCACCACCCAACCAGCCAACAACCACGAGUGAAAAUCACCAGGGAAGAAUCAUAGUCGUGCACGUUUAACUUACCGGUUCAGCUCCUAAGACAUCUGCGCUGUUGUGAGGGAGCUGACAGCUAGAGAAUCCUUUUCUCUUGGGUCGCAGUUUUGACUCUGGAAUUAUUAUAUCGUCCCAUAUUACAUUGACCCAAACGGCAUUUAUGGUUUCCGCAGUCUCGUACACUGAAAAAAGGGACAAAAGCAGGCAGGAGUUUCUUGACACCACCUCAAUAUCUUACUUUAUCAUGUCUGGAAAGCUGGCAACUAUUUUUACUCUUGCACAUGGAGCCGUCCCUUUUUGUUGGCUCUUUGAAUUCAGACGGCUUGACUUGAGCCUGCAUCACGCAAAGCAUAUCGUUCAGGCAUUGUCCAAGUACGGGUUGAAUCCUCGAGUCACGAGAACAAUUUGCAAAGAAUCUCAAUGAGCUUUCGCAAGUCAAGGUCAGGAUUUGUGAGGUGAGCUAGCUCUCGUUUCUUCAAUCUCUGGGUGCAAGUCAUUAUUUUGCAACUGCUCAGGCAACUGGUGACAAUUAAUUGUUCAGUUCUUUUAUGGUACUCUGCAAAAUAUAGUGAUUCACAUAGGAAUUUGAUGAACAUGCAUGCAAUUCUCAGUUUCUUAGCAGUGAAACCUUUAGUCCAGGCAUUACCCGUUUGAUGAUCAUAACUUCAACGGAAAUAAAAUGCAGAGUAGGAGAUGAAUCCCUUCCUGUCAGACUCCCAACAGUUAAGCAAGGGAGGGUGAGCAGCCUAAAUUCAAAUGAGGAUGCCACACAUCGUAAUUUAGGCUUGAAGAAUACCGACAAAUCUUUGAAAUCCAAAGUUUUGUCCAAUGUGUUCUCUGAGGACUACGACAAGGUGAAGAAUAGGAUUUUUGACCCGAGAGGUCAAGCCAUUUGUAGAUGGAACGAGGCUUUCUUGACAGCUUGCCUGGUCUGUCUAUUUGUGGAUCCUCUUUUCUUUUACGUGCUGUCGGUCGAUGGCAACCAUCUGUGCUUAUACAACGGAAUAGGACUCAAGAUCCUCCUAACGAUUGUCAGAUCUGUGGUUGAUGUCUUUUACAUUGUUCAGAUUAUUGUUCGGUUUAAUACAGCAUUUGUUGCGCCCUCUUCCCGAGUGUUUGGGAGAGGUGAACUUGUGAUAGACUCUACAAAGAUUGCACUCAGAUACUUGUGUGACCGCUGUUGCAUUGACCUCUAUGCAGCACUCCCUCUUCCCCAGGUACCGUCUACAGGUUAAGUGCAGCGAUCAAUCAAUUAUCGCAGAGAAAUAGUCGGCACUGAUUUACAAUUUUCAUUUCAGAUGUUAAUUUGGGCAAUAAUCCCAAACAUCAGCGGUUCAACCACGACAAAAACAAAAAACGUGCUCCUGUUCAUCAUUAUCUUGCAGUACCUGCUAAGACUUUUUCUCAUUCUUCCCCUCCGGUUGGAAAUUAGUAAUGCCGGUGGUGGAUUAGCAAAGAAAGCGUGGGCCCGUGCUGCAUUUAACUUGAUGCUCUACCUCUUGGCGAGCCAUGUAAGUGUAUAGAGAAUUAAUUUUUCCACUCGAGUUCCCAAAUUUAAAAUGAAAUUAUAUGCUUAUAUAGCAAUUCUCUUUUCACGUUGACAGGUUUCAGGAGCCUGUUGGUACGUCCUCUCUGUUGGGAGACUAGAAUCUUGCUGGAGGAUGGCCUGCAAUCAGGAAAAACCAUCUUGCCAGUACGACUUCUUUGACUGUCGCCGUGUCCAGGACCCUGCUAGGGUUUCCUGGUACGGGUCAACCAAUGUAACAAGUUUGUGCAACGGAAGCAGUACCAAUAGUCCCAUUAAAUUUGGCAUUUAUGCUGUUGCCGUGACUAAUUCUCUUGCAAGCUGCAAAUUCUUCAGCAAGUUCUUGUACUGCUUGUGGUGGGGUAUAAACAACCUGAGGUAUGCACUGGGUUGUUGACCCCAUUUUCAUUGCGUCUGCACCACGUCUAUUGAUACUCUACAUUCGGGGAAUGAGCAGUGUACAUUCCCCAGAAGCAUACAGGAAUAUCAAUGCUGAUGUGAAAAUCAUCUUUUGCCAGGAACCUUGCUGGACAACUUGACUUUUGUCCUAUAGCUAGUGCAUGUUUGAGACUAAACUGAUGCGUGAUUGAUGUUUUCGUGCUUAAUUUAUGAACGAAAUUAACAUUAGCAAUUUUUUUUUCAACUGACAAGGCUGUCUUCUGAUCCACAUGAACAGUUCCAUAGGGCAGAACUUUGAAUUUGUGGCAACCACUUACGUUGCGGAACUUAUUUUUUGCAUUGCGGUUGCAAUUCUUGGGCUGCUUUUGCUCGCACUGCUCAUUGGAAAUAUGCAAGUGAGCUCUGUUGUUCAUUUUGCUGUACUUUGGGUGUUAAUUUCAUAGUUUGCUUAAAUCAAUAAUGAUGUCUACAUCAUCACUAGCAACAGAUAAUAGGGACUAUGAGUGAGGAAUCAUCAGUAGUCUUUUGAUCGCCCAACCCAUGAUCAUGGUAAAACAUAGUUUCAUCACUUUCUAUUGGUAGGAGUACCUUCAAGCAGCAAACAACCGAAUCGAGCAGUGGAGGCUCAAGAAGACAGAUACAGAGCAAUGGAUGCAUUACAGAAAUCUGCCUCCACAGCUGAGACAAUCUGUUCGGACAUAUUACCAAUCUAAGCGGGUGGCAACUCAAGACAUUGAUGAAGAAGCUCUUCUCAGAGAGUUCCCAGUGGACUUGCACAGAAAUGUCAAGGGCCAUCUUUGCCUUGAUCUAGUUCGACGUGUAAGCUGUGGAAUCCGAUUUGUUCUUUUUUUUCAUUUUGGUUGUUUACAUGUGAUUUCUUUAAAGAUGUGAAGUAAGUAGCAGGAUUUUCUUCUGCGAUGCAUUGAUUUUUAUUCUUAUUCACUUGUGUCCAAACUUAUAACAGGUCCCGCUUUUCAAUCAAAUGGAUGAAAGGAUGCUAGAUGCGAUAUGCGAGAGGCUAAAACCCGUUCUGUGCACUGGAAACAUGUACUUAGUAUGCGAAGGAGAUCCGAUUCAAGACAUGUUCUUCAUAAUCCGGGGGCACCUUGAUUCCUCAACAACCAAUGGUGGCCGCACGGGGUUCUUCAACUCAUGCCGUCUGGGGCCUGGGGACUUCUGCGGAGAGGAGCUGCUGACGUGGGCCCUGGACCCACGCCCAAGCAUCGUCCUGCCCUCAUCCACGCGGACUGUCAAGGCCUUGAAAGAAGUGGAAGCAUUCUCUCUAGCUUCCGAGGACUUGAAGUUUGUGGCAUCGCAGUUUAGGAGGCUGCACAGCAAAGAGCUGCGGCACAAGUUCAGGUUCUACUCGCACCAGUGGCGUACAUGGGCCGCAUGCUUUAUCCAAUCCGCAUGGCGCCGUUAUAGGAAGUUGAAGGAGGAGGCUGAGCUGAGAGAGGAUAGUGAUGGUCAGGCGGGCCAAAUGAAGCGUUCAAGGUCAUUUUGGGAUGUGUACGCGAGGGAGCUGAUAAAAAGCACCAGGCGGGAUGAGAAGAGACAAGCAGGGUCGGGUUCGGAAGCUGUGAACAUGAUAGAGAAGCCGGACGACCUCGAUUUUGGGCAGGAAAUUGAGAUUGAGGACUUGAUGACAGCGUCAUAAUAAAAGCCACAGAAUUUCGCAUCAAGCUCUCUUGCAGUCCUGUCUAUAAGCACGGAGCCAAGUAAAGCUUAACCAUGUACGGUUACCUUAACAGAUUGUUGUUGUUUGUUGCUGCAAAGGAACAUUUCGAAUAUAUUGGAAUGGUUCAGCUAUCCCGGUUUCAUUUCCCCACACACCCUUGUUAUUCAGUAUGCAGAAGAGUUCUUUUUCUAGUUAAAGGUAAUCGACAACAUGUAUGCUUUCAUGAGAUUUUGAAGACGAAUCUCUGAAGGUUAUGAUUUAAUCAUUCAUUUCAUUUAGUUUGGGGAGAACAGUGACAAGCAAUGCAAAUUAUUUUUUUCCUUGGUAUUUAUGUAUUCAACUUUUUCGGGGAUGCACAAUGUUGAAUAAGCGGUCAGAAUCAUCACCGCGAAAAUCAUGUGACCUCCUGUUUGUCAUCCCCCUCACAAACACAGAAUGAUGCAACUUGGUCAUCCAGUUCUUGCUUUUUGUCAUUUUCAAAAAAGAUGUGCAAAAUUUGAAAUAGACACGCAAGACACCGGGGGGGGCUGAUGCUUGGUUUUGGGACCAGAUCUACAUUCUCUGCUUUGGAGUUUUUCUUGUUGAUGGCGACAAAAGCCCUCAUUCAAGCUGAAAUGGAGAAAUGUUGGAGAAGCUUCUGGGGUUGUGCCCCUCAGUCAAACAUAUCCAACCUCUCUUUGUUGAACUUGGGGCUGCUAUUUGCUUAAUGCUCACCCCAGCAAAGUCAAUUCUACUUGGUCUCUAUGACUGCCGUGUACACAAUUUGAUUCUUCGCAACCCAAAAGGAAAAGAAAGAAAGAGAGUCAUUAUGUUUACCAUGGACUCAUUCAAAUUCUUUUUCCUACUACUUUUGGUUGUCUCUAUUUGAUGAAAAUCUGAAGAGACUGUUAAUUCCUAUUGCAGGCUAAGUUUUAACCUUGUUUGUUUUUAUUUUGGUUACAAAAUACCCAUAAAAAAAAAGUUACCCAAGGAAUAAAAGGUAAGAAUGUUGGCAACACCAUAAGUGAAAUAGGAAUAAAUCUAGGUGUAUUGAGUUUCAAUAAAACUUCCUGCAUCAUUUAAGAUUUCUAUUUUGGGAAUCAUUUGUAACAUACCUUGCUUUAUCUUUACCCUUAAAAUUGUCUUAGCCUUCAAAGAUACUCUUGCAACAAUGAGGGUGGGUUAGAGAUGGCCCUUCUCAAAUUGAUUAAAACUCUCAUGAUCUUCGAUAUGGGUUUUUUAAUCGCCGAUUGAUCAUUCACUUAUUUAAAAUCAACCUUCAAUUUUUGUGUCCACCUCUAAGUUUAACUAAGUCACGUUUGUUAAAAGGUGACGGUGACUUUUGCAAUUCGGUGAAUCACGCUAAAUUUAAACUUUCGUGCGCACGUGUCACGUGUACGAAUUAUGGUUUCUAUGAAAUAAUAAAACAAGAAUAGCUUAAUAGUGGGGUAUAGUUUUGGAGAGAGCUUGUCCCUGAACCUCCUCAAAAAGUCUUUGCUAAUUGCACAAACGUCAGUUGAUAAUAGAAAAGAAGAUGGAAGAACCAAGACGGAGGCUAAGAUGUUCCUAAGGCGGUCGUUCUCUUCUUGUUCGGACAUAUUCUACGAUGGCUUGAUCUUGUUUCUUUCUCCAAAUAGUUUAUUCCCGAAUGCUAAUUCUCUGAGCAUGUCAAAUUUGGCAGUCUGUACAUGUCACUGUCCAUGCAUCUUCGGUUUUGACUGCAAGUUUUCUUCAUCAUUAUUCGUCUUGAACUGGUCCGAGCUCGCUUGGGCUCUUCUUUAGACACGUUCGUCAUCUUCUAGGCGUCAAGAACUCCAAAACUAGUCCAAAGAGAGAGAUUCGUGACCUGUUCGUUGCUGUAAAGCCAAAGAGCUUGAGACUUUGGCUUCUUAUAUGCAUAAGAACUAACGUUUUGCUUUGAGUUCUUCGCUCUGUUAGUCGUUUCAUCUCGUUGGUAAUGAACAUACUGCAUAUACAAGACAGAGAAGGGCGAUAAUUGUAUAUGUGAGUGUGAUUUUCUCCGAACUUGCUUUACUCUUGUUCUUUUUCCUAAAUUCACUUGGUCAAUGCAAAUGGCUUCAUUACAAAAGUUCAAAGCUUAAUCUGGACUGGCAUCUUUAAGAGGGAACACAGGAAACAUUAUCUCUCUUUUUAGCAGGGCCUGACAAAUACAGAUCUUAUGCUUCUAUAUUAUUGGGAUUCUAGAUUAACAAGUGUUGGUUAAUUGGAUUGUUUUGGUCAUUCAGAUUAUUGAUUUGUUUAUUCAUGACUGACUUUCUUCACACUGAAAAUGCAUAUUCUUUUCAUGAGAAGAUGAUCUCUGGAUGCAUGCCAUGUCCUUUUCAUUUUGCCCAAUUCUUGUUUGCUCGAGUUUGUGCUCGAACUCUUGUCUAGAAGGAUUUUUCAUGUGCUUUGAUAUGGCCUAGAAUGUUAAAAGUCCUAGAAGUUCAUCUCUGAGUUGAAGUCUCGCUGUUCCAUUUCUUCAUUUGAUUCUCAGUGAAGAAAGGUCAAAUGCUCAUUUCAUAUUUGCAGAGUAUAAACUUUACUCAGCAAGCACUGAUACAAAAGGGGUUAUUCAGAAUGUCAUUGUGUUUCUUGUAUUUGUCCGUUGCAGAUCAAACCCCUCAAUUGAGUUGAGAACAAGGAAACUGGUUGGAAUGGGUUUACAUAAUCCAAGAUUGAUAAGGUCUGUCAAUCCAUAGGUGGUGAAUUUUCUUCUUAAGUCUAAAAAUUUCGUGUUUCCGUGCAAUUUUUAUCCAAUCACAAAAUCUUUGUCAUCUCACUGAUAUGUAUUACUUCAAUCACUCUCGAAACUUAACUAUUGUCGUCUCAUGAACUGGCAGAGUUCGGGAUGAAGUUGAAUUGUCAGAGCUUCCAACUAUAAGCGAAGAUGGAUCCAUUAGGCUCUUACACAACAAUGCGAGGAAGCAAACAUAUGAACCAAGUUUCAUGGAGAGAGAUGACAAGGUUGAUAUUGCUAGUAUGAGUACCUAGAGGGGGUGAAUAGGUGCCUAAACAAUUUAUCGAUAUACGGAAGCGAUUCUUAACAUAUGAUAGAAAGCAAAUUCUCUCUUAAUUAACAAAAUGAAAUACGAUUGAGGUAGAGAGAGUGAGGAAGAGAAAAUUGAACACAGGAUUUAUAGUGGUUCGGCUUAUUCCAAGCCUACGUCCACUCUUCCGCACUGACAGCCCACCGGCUGGAUUUCACUAUGAUCAAAAGAGAAGUUACAGCACAGCUUUACCUUGAUUCCACAGUGUAGAUGUUUUACCACACCUCUUCAAGGUCUCUCACAAAUAUAGACUCUCUUUUGUAUACAAGUAUUCGCUCAAAGGAUUUAUCUAAACAAAUAGGAGCUUCAGACUUUGGAAUUCUUCUAUCGCGCACACCUCGAACAACUAAGAACGUCUUCCUUAUAUACUCCUUUAUGCUAUCAUACCCGUUGGCACUUACCAAAGGAAUUCCUCCAAUCUACCCGUUGGACGGAAUCAAUUAGGAAGAUUGUUCGAGCUAUUAAAGGAACGUGUUGAUAGCCCAUCAAUCUUGUUCGCCCAUACAAUCAGGAUCUCGGUUUCCAUAAGUAGAACCUUCCAAUAAUAUUUAGACAAUCAUCGAAUCUUCAGUCAUUGAAUCAAUCUUGAUCAAUCAAAGGAUUCUUAUACGUCUUCUCCAACCACGAGAUCUUCUCCAGAUGAUAAGGUUAAAUCCUGAACAAAACAUCCAGUUUUGGAUAACCUUUCUUCAACGGAUUAGAGACUGUCAAUGAGGAUAGACUUUGAGUCUUGAGUCUGAAUGUCCGGAAGUCUUCAGACUUUAACUAACAGAGUCUGCAGACCUUCAGACUAGACUGAUGGAAACGUUUUGUCAACUUCAAAACACUUCACGAAGAUUUCUCCAACAAUCUCCCCCUUUUUGAUGGUGACAAAACCUUCCUGCAGAUUUGGAUAACUUUGACCUGCAAAACAUUUCUCAAACACAUAUGCAUAUCUUAUAGAGAUGAAUGGCUAAAAGAUUAACACUAGAAUCUGCAACCACAGAAAAUAGGUUAGUCUAGUAUAUAAUAAAACCAUCCAUAAGAUAUCAAUACUUGUUAAUAGAAGUAGUCAAGUCCAAGUCUAGUUCAGUUCUCAUCCAGACACAAAACAAAGUCAAAGUCUGUCAAAAACAGUUAAACAACAACACAAUCCAACAAACAGUUAAAAAAUGAUUGAAAGUUUUUGAUCAAAUCAUGCAUCUCUCCCCCUUUUGUCAUCAUUAAAAAGGAUGAGAUGAAGUAUUGGGAAUGCGGACAAGCUGGAAAUCUUCCAUAGACUGAACGAUGCCUUCCAGCCUUUUAAAGUCUUCCUUCAGCUGUACAACCUCCUCACUCUUGGCAUUGGCCUGAUUCUGAAUAGAGAGGGCUUGCAUCUUAUCAUUCAAUGAACAGGAAGAAGCUUGACUUUCAUUCUUCAAACUUUGAACUUCGCAUCCCAAGGCAUAAAUCCGACCUUUCAUCUCCAAGAGAAUAUCCAUGAUUCUGCGAAAAUCUGCUCCAUUAUCAGUCUGAGUACUUGCUUCGGCUCGAUCUGCAAAAGAUGGUAGAUCAGCAUAAUCUUGCAGAUUUGGCGAUGACACUUCAUGAUCUUCUUCUGGAAACUGAGAUACAUAAACAUCUUCUGGGUCUGCAGGCGAGCAACUAACUCCUUCACUUGCAUCAGGAUAUGAAGACGUCACUCCUUUCUCAUGAUCUCCCCCUGUUUCCAUGCCUACAGGUGGAGAAGAGAUUUCCUCAGGUUCUCCUUCUUCUCUUCUUUCUUCUUCAGGUCUUUCUUUCUCUGCUUCUUGCUCUGCUUCUCUUUCUUCUUCUUCCUUCUCCUCUGCUUCUCUUUCUUCUUCUUCCUUCUCCUCUGCUUCUUUCGUCUUUUGUUCCGAUUCUUUCUGUGGAACAGGACGACCUAAAUUCUUCAAAGCCAUUGCAGAGAUGGUGAUGUCUUCGUCAUCAUCUUCAUCCUCAACGAGGAGAGCUCUUCUUCUCUUUGAUGAAGCAGCCAUGGGCUCCUUCCCUUUUCUCUUAGCAGCAGAAGAGAGUUGAUGAGAUUUGGCAGGAGUCUUCUCCUUGAAUUUCUCCAAUUCCUUGCUCAGUUCCUUCAGACGCAUUUUGGUCACCAUUUUCAGUCCUACCACCAUAUGAUCGCAUGAUCGAACACAAAAGAUUUGCGGAGGCUGAAUAUUCAGAUGUCUGAAUAACUUCGUAACAAGACUUGGGUAAGGGAGUUGACAUCUGUCCUUCAUCACUGCUCUAUACAUGUGAAACAUAACAGUAUGAGGGAGGGAAAACUUCUUUCCACAGAGGAUGGCAUACAUCAACUUUGCCUCAGAGCUUGAAACAUCAGUUUUGGAAGUUGAUUUCGGCCGAAGGCAAUUGAUCACAAUCUUGUGAAGCAAGAUGUUGAAUGCAUUCAUCCGUGAGUAGGUGAUCUUCUCAUCUAUUCUCCUGUCCUUCACCAGUUCAAGUGUGGCCCGAGCAAUGGAAACUUUGAUUGGUUGAUAUCUGCCUCUCUCAACUUCUAACACAUCUGCCAGCAUAUUCAUAUCCACAACAUAGUCUUGUUCUUUAACGCUGAAGGAGAAUCUAUUCGCAUCCAAAAAGUUAAGAUUUGAAUAGAAAUAUGCAGUCAAUUCAGCAUAAGCCUCAGUUGAGUCAGAACAAAACUUUUCAAGUUGAAGAUAACUGAACUUUUCCCUCAAGUUCACUUUCACAGCAUCCAGAAAAUCAAAGUCCACACUCCUAGGGUUAUUACCCCACGCUUCAGCAAUUUCGAGUACAGAUCCUUUUGUUCCUUUGAUCUGAACAAAUCUCCCCUUUUUCCUUGAAUUUCAGCCGCAAUACCCAUUUUCGGUUGAAAUAGACUGAACAGAUUGUCAUCGUCAUUUCCAUCUACAGGAUUCGGUCCCCAGUCACGAGGAUCACUUGGGAUAUUCGCAAGGGUUUCCUCAGCCACCCCUUUACGAGCGAUUCCCAAACUUUCCAUUUUUCGCAGAAAGAUAUAUUCGUUCCUAUAUCCUUUGUCUCUAAGAAACUCAUCAACAUAGUUCAAAGGAGUACGAAUUCCUUUUAAGGCACGAUAUAGCUUGUAAAUAAAAGCGGGCUUUUGAACUCUUACGGGGUCUGCAUCCUCGAUGAUUUCUUCUUGAUGCUGAUGAACAACGCCUUGAGGACUAGAUGGAGGAGACUGACGCUGCUGAGAAUGUUGUGGGCUCGGUUGCUGAUCUGGAGUAACUUCAUCUUCAGUAAGAUCGAAGUGCGUAGGCCCCUCACUCAUUCUCUGUGGUCCCCUGCUUGCGAUUCUUGAGGACUUUCGUGAAGAUGACAUCUUUCUCAGUGUUUGGAAGAUUCCUUGCUUGAUUUUCUCAGAAAAGAUGACAACUUUUUGAAGAUUGAGCGAAGAAGACAAACGGGAAUUGAGGAUCAAUGCUUUCUAGGGUUUUUGAGAGAAAAGUGAAUAGAAAAGUGAAGAGAAAUCGACAGUACACAAUCGGUUAAAAAGAAGAGUAAACGAACCGUCACAAAGGAAAUAAAAAUAUGCCUUUUCAAAAUAACUGUCUUUAUCCGCAAAAAUAGUUAUUUAAAAAAUAACUUCCCUUUUGAAAAUGAAUCGAUGCAAUAUUUACGUUAAUUAAAUAUAGCAACAAUUUAAACAUAGCCUGAUGAUCGUACAUUUUCAAGAUAAGAUUGGAGAGAGAAAGACUUACAGUCUGAAGGUCGAGCCAAGACAGUAGAUAAAGUCUUGUUAGCCUGAGUCUGACAGUCUUUAGACUUUGAUAUCCUCAUACCUCAAAAUGUUGAGUCUGGACCGUAUAGACUCAAAUUGAUUUUUCUCCAAAGGCUUCGUGAGUAUAUCAGCCAGUUGAUUCUUUGAGUCAACAAAUUGAAUUAAAACAUCUCCAUUUUGAACAUGAUCUCUAAUAAAGUGAUGUCGAAUCUCUAUAUGCUUUGCUCUUGAGUGGAGAAUUGGAUUUUUGGUGAGGUUGAUAGCGCUGGUGUUGUCGCAAUUAAUCUCCGUGCAUGAGUCUUCAAUUUCAAAAUCUCUUAGCUGUUGUUUUAUCCAUAGAAUUUGCGAACAGCAGCUUCCAAGAGCUACAUACUCUGCUUCUGUUGUUGAAAGAGACACAGUGCUUUGUUUCCUUGAAAACCAAGACAUUGUCCUGCUUCCAAGCAACUGGCAAGUUCCUGAAGUGCUCUUUCUAUCAACUCUGCAACCGGCCAGAUCUGCGUCUGAAUAUCCCAGAAGAUUAAAGUCUCCCUUCUUAGGAUACCAAAGACCGAUGCUUGAUGAUGAAGCAACGUAUUUAAUGAUGCGUUUCGCAACACUGAGAUGAGAUUCUCUAGGAUCUGAUUGAAACCUAGCACAGAUGCAAACACUCAACAAAAUAUCAGGUCUAGAGGCAGUAAAAUAAAGAAGUGAUCCAAUAAUGCUCCUGUACAGCUUUUGAUCAACUUUCUUCCCUUCUACAUCUUUGUCUAUCUUUAAAGAACUUGACAUUGGUAUGUCGACCUUUUUGCACUUUUCCAGUCCAAACCUUUUGACAAGAUCAUUAACAUAUUUUUCUUGAUAAAUAAAAGUUCCUUCCUUCAAAUGUUUUACUUGAAGACCAAGAAAGAAUGUUAACUCUCCCAUCAUACUCAUUUCAAACUCAUCCUGCAUAGACUUUGAAAAUUUCUUGCAAAGACUUUCAUUAGAGGAUCCAAAAAUAAUAUCAUCCACAUAUAUUUGAACAAGUAAGAAACUUUUGUUUUCCUUCUUGAUAAAUAAAGUCGUAUCUACUUUACCUUUGACAAAACCAUUUUGUAUUAGGAACUUACUUAAUCUGUCGUACCAAGCCCGAGGUGCUUGCUUUAAACCAUACAAAGCCUUUUUCAGUCUGAAGACUGAGUCUGGCUUCUUUGGGUCUUCAAACCCUGGUGGUUGUUCCACAUAAACUUCCUCAUGGAUAAAUCCAUUUAGGAAGGCGCUUUUGACGUCCAUUUGGAAUAACCUGAAAUUCUUAUAACAAGCAAAUGCAAGUAAUAGUCGAAUAGCUUCUAACCUUGCCACUGGAGCAUAAGUCUCAUCAUAGUCUAUUCCUUCUUCUUGCGUAUAUCCCUUGGCCACGAGUCUUGCUUUAUUUCGUACGAAUUUUCCUUUCUCGUUCAUCUUGUUUCUGAAAACCCAUUUAGCUCCAAUAACAGUUUUACCUUUUGGUUUGGAUGUCAAUUCCCAUACAUCAUUUAUGUUGAACUGUCUGAGCUCUUCUUGCAUAGCUUCAAUCCAGCUUUCAUCAGAUAAAGCUUCUUCUAUGUUCUUUGGUUCAAUUUCAGAAACGAGUGCCACAGCACUAGACUCUUCUCGCCUUUUGGAUCUGGUGCGAAUUCCUUCAUUCAUUUCGCCGAUUAUAAGAUCUUUGGGAUGACUGGACUUAUGCUUCCAGUUACUUGUUGAUUUGUCUGAUUGAUGAUCUCUCUCUUUGAUUGAAUCUUCAUGAACAUCCUUAUUCUGGUUUUCCAGAGUCUGAGAUGCUUCUUGAGUUGUAAGCUUUGGAAGAUCUGGAGCAGGUUCAGACUCUUCUUGAUGAGUCUGACUUGAUUCAUCUUGUGUUGAGUCUUGAAAUUUGACAUUCAUUGACUCCUCCACAGACUGGCUCUUCUUGUUAUAGACUCUGAAGGCUUUGCUUGAUGUAGAAUAUCCAAGGAAGAUACCUUCAUCUGAUCUUUCUUCAAACUUACCAACUCGAUCUUUUGCAUUUUUCAGUAUAAAACAUUUGCAACCAAAUACAUGAAAGUAUGAAACAAUAGGCUUCUUUUCUUUGAAUAACUCAUAAGGGGUUUUCUGAAGAAUAGAUCUUAAGAAGACUCUAUUGAUGAUAUAGCAUGCUGUUGAAACAGCUUCAGCCCAAAAUCGAGAAGAAAUUUUACUUUCAAUUAAAAGAGUUCUAGCCAUUUCUUGAAGAGAUCUGUUCUUUCUUUCCACAACUCCAUUUUGCUAAGGAGUAUAUGGAGAGGAAAACACAUGCUUACAGCCAGAUUCAUCACAGAAUUUUGUAAAAUCUUGAUUUUCAAAUUCACCUCCAUGAUCUGUUCUUAUACUAAAGAUAACACAUCCUUUUUCAUUUUGAACCAUUUUAACAAAUUUUUCAAAAUACAAAAAGGUUUCGGACUUACUUGCAAGGAAAUAUACCCAAGUAAAACGGGAGUAAUCAUCAACAAUUACUAGGCAAUACUUCUUACCCCCAAUACUUUGAGUUCUGGUUGGUCCGAAGAGAUCCAUAUGCAGCAACUGUAGUACAUGAUUAGUAGAGACAUAAUUAAUUGGCUUAAAAGAAUUUCUUACCUGCUUUCCCAGAAUACAUGGAGUGCAUGAAUCAGUCUUUUGGUAUGGCAAUCUGGGUAGUCCUCGAACAAGCUGUUUUGAAGAGAUUUUGGCUAAUUGCUUCAUGUUGACAUGACCAAGCUUUUUGUGCCAUAAGCUUGCUUCGUUUUGAAUUGAGAUAAGGCAUUGCGAUUCAUUUGGUUUCACAUCCAGAAGAUAGAUAUUUCCAUGUCUUCGACCCAUGAAAGACUGAGUAGAGUCUUUACUGAUUCCAAAACAUGUUCCUUCUUGAAAGAAGAUCUUGAAACCAGUAUCACACAAUUGACUAAUGCUGAGAAGAUUGUAAUUGAGUUCUUCCACUAAGGAAACAUUACUUAUUGUGAGAGUUCCAAUUUUCACGGUUCCAAAUCCCACAAUACUUCCUUUGCUGUUUCCUCCAAAUGAAACUUUUCCACCAUUUACUUGAGCAAUCUUUAUAAAGCAAUUUGAGUCUCCUGUCAUGUGUCUUGAGCAUCUGCUGUCAAGAUACCACUUUACCUGUUUCUUGACGGAGACCUGCAUUUAAAAUAAAGUCUCAAGCUUUCUUUGGUACCCAAAUUUUCUUUGGUCCUUUGGUGUUAGUAAGAUAAACAGUAUUAGCCCAUACUUUCUUAACAGGUUUCCAUACCAUAGGACACUUUUUUUCAAAGUGAUCCGGACUGUUGCACUUAGAACAUCUGAGAGCAUUUCUACCUACAGGUUUUACAAAAACUUUCUUGAAGUGAUUUUUGUAAACCUCACUCGAGAGUCUUUUCUUAAUUCUUUCUUUUCCUUUAGGAAAAUCAAUCAAGGGGAUUGUUUCUUCUGUCAUACCUAGACCAGACUUAUUGAAGUAAGGUCUUUGUGCUGAAAGAAUUUUCUCAAGUUUUUCAGACCCUAUAGAAAAUUUCUUUGAUAUAUUUGAUAAGUCUGUUUUUAAAAAAGCAUUUUCUUUUAAAAGAUUAUCUUCAUUUUCUUUAAGAAUGGAAACAGACAAGUCUAGACUUUUAACUCUUUCUGCUAAAACAUUUUCCUUUUGUUUUAGAGCUGAGUUUUCUUUUUUCAGUUCGGAAAUUCUUUUGAGAGAAGUCUUAAGACUAAAGCAUAGUUCAUCAAUAUAUUUAGAAACUUUGACGGGAAUUUUAAAAUCACUUGCCUCAAAUUCACUAUCUGAGUCUGAUCCUGAGUCUGAUCCAGAAUCUGAGUCUGAUUGUGCCAUCAGACAUAGAUUGGCAUAUUCAUUAUCACUUUCUUCACACUCAGUAUCACUCCAGGUUUCUACUUUGAGAGCUUUUCGAAAUUUUUCAGCUUUUCCUCUCUUCUUCUUCAGAAGACGACAGUUGGGUCUGAUAUGUCCCUUUUUCUUGCAUUCAAAGCAGACUACAUCUUUAUUUGGUUCCUCAUCAUCAACAGACUUGGUCUGCUGUCUUUGAAAGUUUUGUUUCUUUGAGUUGAACCUUCUUCCUUUUCUAUUUAGUUUUCUGAAUCUUCUUAUCAUGAGAGCAAGCUCCUCAUCGUCCAUAUCAUCUUCAAAAUCUGUAUCAUCAGAAUCAUCAUUUGAUUUUAAUGCAAUGGAUUUCUUACCUUUUGGAUCUUCAUCUUCAUUGAUCAUUUCCACUUCAUAGGACUGAAGAAUUCCAAUCAGCUCGUCGACAGAUAGUGGCAUGAUUCUCUGCGUCUCUCUUAUCGAAGUCUUUAUGUGAUUUCAAUCCCUAGAGAGUCCACGCAGUAGCUUGUUUACCUUCAUGGGAUCAGAAGUUGGUUGACCUUGAUUUUCAAGACCAUUCACAAUAUCUGUAAAAUGACUAAACAUGUCAGAUAUUGAUUCUCCUGGUUUCAUUCUGAAGGCUUCGUAUUGACCGAGAAGAAUGUUGAUUCUUGUUUCCUUCACUCGAUCUGUUCCUUCAUAGGUGAUAUGCAAUAUGUCCCAAACUUCUUUUGCUGUACCACAAGAAGAUAUUCUAUUAUAUUCAGUUGGUGAUAAAGCACAAUAUAAGGAGUAAAUUGCUUUUGCAUCGAGUGUUUGUCUCUUGAUUAUUUCUUCCUGAGACAUUCCGCUGGUUUCUUCAGUUUCUUUUCCUCUUUCAGAGACUGAUGCAGUGGUAGGAGUAAUUCCUUUUUCUACAACAUCCCAUUCCAGAGGAUCCUUUGAUCGUAGGAAAGCUUUCAUCUUGUUCUUCCAGAUGUUGUAAUCCUUUCCAUCAAAGUAGGGUGGUCUGGUAUUGCUUUGCCCUUCCAUCAGCCCUGGUGCUAGCAUACUAGCCAUGGAUCUUUUACUAUGAAGUAAAACACUUCAAAUAAAGUAAGUACACAGGCUCUGAUACCAAUUGAUAUUGCUAGUAUGAGUACCUAGAGGGGGGUGAAUAGGUGCCUAAACAAUUUAUCGAUAUACGGAAGCGAUUCUUAACAUAUGAUAGAAAGCAAAUUCUCUCUUAAUUAACAAAAUGAAAUACGAUUGAGGUAGAGAGAUUGAGGAAGAGAAAAUUGAACACAGGAUUUAUAGUGGUUCGGCUUAUUCCAAGCCUACGUCCACUCUUCCGCACUGACAGCCCACCGGCUGGAUUUCACUAUGAUCAAAAGAGAAGUUACAGCACAGCUUUGCCUUGAUUCCACAGUGUAGAUGUUUUACCACACCUCCUCAAGGUCUCUCACAAAUAUAGACUCUCUUUUGUAUACAAGUAUUCGCUCAAAGGAUUUAUCUAAACAAAUAGGAGCUUCAGACUUUGGAAUUCUUCUAUCGCGCACACCUCGAACAACUAAGAACGUCUUCCUUAUAUACUCCUUUAUGCCAUCAUACCCGUUGGCACUUACCAAAGGAAUUCCUCCAAUCUACCCGUUGGACAGAAUCAAUUAGGAAGAUUGUUCGAGCUAUUAAAGGAACGUGUUGAUAGCCCAUCAAUCAUGUUCGCCCAUACAAUCAGGAUCUCGGUUUCCAUAAGUAGAACCUUCCAAUAAUAUUUAGACAAUCAUCGAAUCUUCAGUCAUUGAAUCAAUCUUGAUCAAUCAAAGGAUUCUUAUACGUCUUCUCCAACCAUGAGAUCUUCUCCAGAUGAUAAGGUUAAAUCCUGAACAAAACAUCCAGUUCUGGAUAACCUUUCUUCAACGGAUUGAGUCUUGAGUCUGGAUGUCCGGAAGUCUUCAGACUUUAACUAACAGAGUCUGCAGACCUUCAGACUAGACUGAUGGAAAUGUUUUGUCAACUUCAAAACACUUCACGAAGAUUUCUCCAACAAAGGUAUCAUAGAAAUACCCUCCCUCCUUGAGAGCGAAAAUUCUCUGCAAAGUCUUCUCCGAGGAUUAUGAGAGAGGGAAAAGAAAAAUUCUGGAUCCUCGUGGGAAGACGAUGCAGCGGUGGAACAGAGUUUUCUUGGUGGCGUGCUUAGUUUCACUGUUUGUCGAUCCUCUGUUCUUUUACUUGCAAGUAGUGUGGGAGGAACAGUGCAUAAACAUUGGAGUGCCCCUUGAAGUCAUCCUCACCGCCGUCCGGUCACUGGUUGACGUCUUUUACAUGAUUCAGAUUUACAUUCGGUUCCGUACGGCUUAUGUGGCGCCUUCUUCCCGUGUUUUCGGGAGAGGAGAACUUGUAAUUGAUCCUUCAAAGAUUGCGCAAAGGUACUUAAGGAGAGGUUUUUGGAUCGACUUCAUCGCCGCGCUCCCACUUCCUCAGGUAUGUCACGCUAUCCUCUUUUGCACAAGUUUGAAAUGCCAGCCAACUGUGGUUGAUUCUCUUCAAUAAGUGACAAGAUUUUUCCUCUGUAUACAGGUGUUGAUAUGGGUGAUCAUCCCAAAUCUUAAGGGUUCAACAAUCACCAAUACAAAAAAUGUGCUUCGCUUCAUUAUUAUUUUCCAGUACCUCCCGAGACUCUUUCUCAUCGUUCCUCUGUCGUCACAAAUUGUGAGGGCCACAGGUGUUGUCACAGAACGAGCUUGGGCUGGAGCUGCGUAUAAUCUGAUUCUUUACAUGCUCGCGAGCCAUGUGAGUCCUUAACAAACUAAUUCUUGGGAUGAAACGUUAUCUUUCACUAAGUUUGUUCAGCUUCUUAAUAGGUUUUGGGAGCCUGCUGGUACCUCCUGUCCAUCGAACGGCAAGAAGCAUGUUGGAAAUCCGUGUGCAAAAGAGAGAAGUCAUCUUGCAAUUUUUUACAUACUCUUGGUCGUUGCUCUAUAUAUUCAUUACCUUUCACCAAAAAAAAAAAAAAAGUUUUUGGUAAACUUAUUACAAGUGUAUCAAUUUGGGAUUUUUCAGUGUAUUAACUCUAAACUCAAUUAUAUAUUCAUAUUAUAACUUUUGCGUCAUGUCGUAGAUUGGAAUCGAAUUUCAUGUCAUAUUAAUCAAUAUCUCGUGUUUAAUUCCCGCCCAAAAUAGGAUGAAAUCAAAUAUAAAAGGGAUAUAAUUUGGACAAAAACAUCCUAUAAAUGAAGUGGGAUAAAGAUAGAUAAGAUUUCUUAUAUCAAUAGUAUAAAAUAUAUUUCUCUUGAAUAACAAAUUUAUUAAAUUAAAAGAAUUAAAAUAAUAGUUAAAUAUAAAAUAAUAUUUGGAUUCUAAUUUUAAAAAGAAGAGAGAGAGAGAGAGAGAGAGAGAGAGAGAGAGAGAGAGAGAGAGAGAGAGAGAGAGAGAGAGAGAGAGAGAGAGAUGUUGUGUUAGAAUCAUACUAAUUACAUUGUUAGGAAAAUUAGAAUUCUUGUAAAUAGAUAAAUACAUUUGCAGAACAUUUAAAUUGUAUCAUCUUUAAAAUAAUAAAAAAAUAAAAUUCAUAAUAAUUAGCCCAGUCAAAUUCAAAUCGCGAUUGAUAAGGUCUGAGAAAACCUAAGGCAAGCAUGAGCGUCGUCUUGUAAGAGGGGCCAUUUGCGCCUGUUUGUCAAUUCGUCAAACCCCCACCAGAAAUUCGCCUCCCGAGGGUCGCAACACCUACCAAAGGAUGAUGUGUCAGCUCUCGAAGAUUCAUCAGUCGAAAUUGCAAUUUGAUUCCAUUACCAAAAAAAUAAAAUAAAAAUAAAUAAAAAUUCCUAGAUAACAACCCUCAUAGAAAUCCCGAAUCUCUAUUCCCAGCCAACCGGCCAAUAACCGCCAGCACAACGCCUCCCCGCCUCAGAAAAUCACCGAGGAAGAGUCAGAGUCAGAGUCGGGCACGCAUCUUACCGAUUGAGCUCCCUAGAUGAUAGAUCCACGCGCUUCCGUGCGAGAGCAGUCAGCUAGGAAUGAUCCUUGUCUCUUUGGUUUGCGGUUUGGACUCUGGAAUCAUUAUAUCGUUCCAUACCCCGUUGACCCACAUGGCAUCUGUGAUUCUCCCAAGACCUCCAACAAUAGGAAAAGGCACAAAAGCAAGAUAAUUUUUUGAAACUUUCUUCUCAAUAUCUUAUUUUUAUCACGUCUGGAAAGCAAGCAAAUGUCAAUAUUAUUAUCACCCUUGCACAUUGAGUCGUCCUUUUCUUUUGGUUGUUUCGAUCCAGACGGCUUAAUUUGAACCUGAAUUACACGAAACAUCACGUUAAGGCGCUGUCCAACCACGGGUCCUCAAGCCACAGGAACAAUUUGGGAAGAAUCAUAAUGAGCUCUCGCAAGUCAAAGUCAAGAUCUGUGGUGGUGAGCUACCUCACAUCUUCAAUUUCACUUUUCUGGGGUGCAAGUUACUUUUUUGCAACCGUUCAAACAACUGGUGACAAUUAAUAGUUCAGUUCUUUUAUGGUUCUCUGCAGAUUUAAUGAUUUAAAUAGGAAUACGACGGAUAUGCUUGCAAUUCUAAGUUUCUUAGAGAAACCUCCAGUCUAGACUAAUGUACAUGACUUAAAUGAGGGUGCCCUUGCUUGUAUGAAACUUCUUAAUUACGUGUUUGAUGUUCAUGACUAUAACCGAAAUAAAAUGCAGAGUAGGAGAUGAAUUUCUUUCUUUCGGGCUCCAAACAGAGAAGCAAGCUGAGGCAAGCGGUCUAAUUUCAAAUGAGGAUGCCACACAUCAUAAUUUAGGUUUGAAGAAUAUCGACAAGGUUGGAAAAUCCUUGAAAUCCAUAUUAUCAGUUAGUUCAUGUCCGCACUGUGACAUCCUGAUUUUCAACCCUAUUCGAUGAAAUGAAAUGGGCUUUUCAUCGACGCGCCUAUAGUUUUUUUCUCUGAGCUAAUCACUCACGAGAUAACUAAUCUAUCUGGCGAAGCCGUUACGGAAUCUAAAUGCGACAAACUUGAAAAUUCGAUCAGAAAUCAACUGCUCGACUGUGCUAAUCUACAAGGAUCAAUAUGGCACCGUUAAAAUCGACUAGAGAUCAAAGAUAAGUCGGUUUGAUAGAGGCAUGUGAUUAAAGUGUGUAAUUGCAAAAUUCGCGUCGAACGGCACUAAAUCAAUUUUUCUGUCUUUUCUAUACCCUGUGCCCAUAUCUGAAACCUCGAGAUUUUCACAACAACCGAAAGUUGCCUAUGAGUCGAAAAUGCACAAUGUAGAUCGAAAAUAAUCGACCACGGGUCAAUUGCGCUAAAAAUUCCUAAAAGCUACCCAAUAGAUUAAGUCACGCUAAAAUCACGUCCGGUUUAAAUUAAUUACGAAAUUGAACCCGAUUUCAGGAAUUGAAAGUUUUGACAUGUCACGAUUUAUCUUAGGAACGUCAACUCAUCAUUCGAAGAAUUUUUGGCGAGUCUGGAUUUUUAGCAAAAAUUCAAAUUUGGGCAAUUUUGGACCGGGAAAUUCGGAGGGCCGUUUUUGUAUAAAUUUUUUGCUGUCAAGUUGGAUCUUUUGGUGAGGAAAAUUGUGGAAAGUGGUAUGGGCUUCCCCCUUGGCAAUUUGGCCAUCAAUUUGAGGCCAAUUGGAAUGAAAUUGAAUGGAAUUGAAGUUGGAAAUGGGUGAAAUUCGUAGGUGUCGACACCUAUUUUUAGCAAAUCUAGGAAAAUAAGGAAAAUAAAAAUUGCAUUUUUGGACAAAUAAAAAGAAAAAAAUGAAAAUGGGGGAAAUUGAUUUGAUUGAAGUAUGCAAGGAAAUUUGAAAUUCUGAUGAGUAUUCAGAUUUUGACAAAUGCAGAAACAAUUGAAAAAUCAAGUAAAUAAGAGGUAAGAAUUUUGCAAAAUGGAAAAAAUCUGAGCAGGAUCGAGCUGAUUGCGAAAUCAGCUUCCGAUUUGUAGGCUUGAUUUAAUGCAACAGAAGAUAGAAAGUCGAAAAUUGUUAUAAAAAUGGCCAUUUGAAAAUCACUAUAAAAUGAGCCAUUUUCGUGAGCAAGGGAGCGAAUUCAGAAAAAUUUUCAGAGGUGCGAAAAAAAUUGAGAGAGAUUUUGUGAAAAGAGUGCGGGAGAAAGUGAAAAGAGAGAAAGAGAAAGCUUGUCUAUCUUCAGUCAAAAGAAGUCUUUUUCUUUUCCUGACAAAUUGCAGAAAAAAAGGAAAAGUUAGCAGAGAGGGUACAGAGAGACGUGAGAGAGACGUGAGGGAAGAAAAAGAAAAAGAAAAAAGAAAGGAAAACGCUACAGUGUCGUCUUCCCCAAAGGGGCCUCCCCGACCGCGCCUGGUGUGCCCCCGCCGUCCACCGCGCCAACACCGCCUCCGCCAGGCGCCCCGACGACCGCGCUCUCGCCCUUGCCGACGCCGCGCCGCUGCAACACCCCCGCUCCGCCCGCGACGCCGCCCGUCGAUCUCCGAGCUCCACCGCGCCUCCGCACCGCCACCUCGCUGGUUCGCUCACCUCCGCCACGCCGCGCCUCGCCCGCGCCUACGACGUUCGCAGCUCCGCCGCCGCGCCUCAGCCCGCGCCCCAUCGCCGCGACCCUCCUCUGCCCGCAAAGUUGCAGCCGCUACCAAGUCGAAAUCCAGACACCGGAGCUCCCCCCGUCGCCGCCUAGCUUUGCCGGAGCUCCGACCGCGACGCCCCUGCCGGAUCUCCGAUUAGCCACCAUUGGCCGGGCCCCACGGCUGUCAAGCCCAUUUUUAAAAAAAAAAGAAAAGAAAACACAUUAGGUAGUUUUCUUUAGUUUACUUAUUUAUUCUAUUUUACUUUAUCUUGUGUUUUUUUUAGUAUAAUUAGUCUUUAGUAUAUGAUUGGAAAUUCAACACAUCACCCGAUUCGCAACCGCACCUAAAUUUUUUAUUUCAUCUAUAAGCCUUUAGAUGAAAUAAUUAAUUAAGCGGAAUUAAAAUUGAUAUUUUGAUCUUUAAGGCUUAAGAUCAAUUUAUCGAUUUUACUAGCGAAAUAUUAUCCCUUGAUUUGAACGAUGUGUGAUUUUCUUUGAUCUUGAUUGCUUUAUUUAUCUUGAAAUAUGUUUGGGCUAGAAUAUUGCAUGUUUUAGGGCUAUCUAUAUAUUUAGGUUAAGCAUUCUAUUUAUCAUGAAUUUUCAAAAAGAAAUAUAAAAAAAAUCAAAAAAACCAAAAAUCAAAUCAAUCCAUCAAGGUUGCUAGAUUUUAAUUUGAAUUGCAUGUUUAAUUAUUCAGCAAUUAUUAUUUUCGAAAAUUAAACAAAAAAAAAUCAUCAUUCAUUUGUCAUAUAGAGUUAGGGCAUAUUUUGUACGUCAUUGCAUAUUAGGGUUAAAUUGCACUUGAUUUAGUUUUAGAUAAUACUUUUCUUAAUUCAUUAUAAGUCUAGGUGCUUUUCUUGAAUAGAUUGCAUUUUAAGAUUAUUUGGAUUAAGGUAAUAUUUUAGUUUAAACUAGGAUUUAGCUUUACCUAAUUCCUAAUGCAAAUUAAAUAGAAUCUUAAUCUAGUUAAAUAAUUUUCAUUUUUUUUUAAUUCUGAAUUUUCAUUAAAAAAAAUACAAAAAAUGACUUAGGAUAAAUUAGUUUUAAUCCCUAGGAUAGAUUGCAUUUAAAAAAAAAAAAUGUCAUUGCAUUAUGAAAUGCAUGCCAUUUAGCGAUCAUUGCUAGAUUCAUUUAAUUAGAAAUUGCAUGUCAUUAGAAUUAGGUCAUUUAGUUAACAUUGCGUUGCAUAUUGCAUAAUCUUCAUUAAUUAAGUAAAAAAAAAUAAAAGAGAUUACGUGUUAAUUAGAAAUCAUAUCUAAGGUUGAUGAUGUGAAUUUUUAAUCUAACCAUGCAGAUGCUUUUGUUGCUAUAAAGUAAGUCCCCGCAUUUCUUAUUAUUUCAUUGCUUUCUUGGAUGUUGAAUUGGUGGUUUGUGCACCCGCAUGAUCACCUCACAUAUUAGGAAAACAGGUUAAAAUAAAUCAGCUGCUUGCAAAAACAUUUUGAAAAAUUUAAAAGAAAUGGUACCGAAAGGGCAUUAGAGAAAUCUAGUGUAACCAAGUCCCUGUACCCUCAGUCUCUGGUUCAUAGGAGUAAAAUAAAUCUCCAUUUAUUUUACUUAGGUGUCUAAUCGACCUACCCUAAACCGAUUAGUAGCGACUCUUGGUUAAUAACAUCUUGCAUGUUUAAAAAUUUAGACUUAAGUCGCGAUUUGGUAUGGGCUGGGAGAGCUCGAGCUAAGUGUAAAAACUUAGCAGUCCAUUAACCUAGUUUUAGGUGGUGCACCCGAAAAAUAGAUCGCGACAAUAGGCCUUGGCGGGGUGCAACAUUUGAGCUUCUAUCUUGGUUUGUUGAGGAAGAUUUGGAAGAGAAAAGGCAGCUAGGCACAGCUGUGGACUUUGGGGACCAAGUGAGGAUGAAAUUAAGACAUUUGUUGAAGACUUUGUGGCCUAUUUGUCCCCCUUAAACCAACAGCAGUCCCUUCUUCCUUUUUGCUUCUUUCUUCUCCAUUGUUGCUAAAAACCUUCAAUUCCAAACCAGAGAAACCAGCCAAGGCCAGCCACCUCCCAUCGAAGCCAGCAACAGCCCCUCACCACCGCUUGCACCACCCGCCAAAGCCACAGCAGCCAUCGGUGUCACCAUCUGCCCACCCGCCAGCCAAGCCAAAUCAGCGACUCCAACCGCUCGAUCGUCUCCCACGCUUGCUUGUUGUUCGCCUAGUCGCCACCAUCCGUCAUUCUAGCCACCUGAGCCACCGCCAUCUACCCCUGCUUGCGCCACUGUCCUGCUCCCCUGUUCCCACAUCAGCCAAGUCACCGUAGCCUUCGGUCCAACCCAAUGCAAAACUGAAACUCAUAGCUUGGGAUGUGAGCUUCAUGGGCUUUUUUCGGCCCUUUCUCUGCCUCCCUUGGCAUUGCUCUAGACUUGAGUCUCGCUCACCUCCACGUCGUCGUGAACUCAUCGACUCACUAAUCCAGUGAGUUUACUUGCUAAACUCUACUUAUGGAGUUAAUUAUGCUUAGAGGAUGAUUAGUUUAGACUAAAAUUAGCUUAGGUGGAUUAGUUAGUGUAAUUAGUGGUUUAGUUAGUUAAUUAGGCUAAUUAGGUGGUUAGAUUAGUUUAGUUUAGGGUUAAUUAGAUGUGAUUCAAUUAGCUUAGUACACUAUUUAUUUAAGUCCAAUUAUGUGGUUAGAUUAGUGUAUAUAGCUUAAUUAGUGAUUUACUUAAUUAUUUUUCAUUUUUUAAUUAUUUUGUAAUUUAUUUUAUUAUUUAUUAUUUUCCGGAAAUUAUACCGGGAUAGCCAGUUGCUAGAACUUUGUGCUGAUCGUCGUGGUGCAGUUUGUUUGUGCAAUUGAGUGUUAAAUUGUGCAACUGAAUGCUGAUUGGUGAUUUUGAGUUAUUAUUUCAAAAUUAUGGAAUUUUGGUAUUUAAUUAGAAAAAUAUCAGGUGUUGAGUUUUGACACCAAAAAUGUUUUUAAAUACUAUAUCAAAUAGUUUGACUUUUAAAAGUGAGGAUAUUGCAUUUUAUGGCUCAAGCUAACCGUGUACCCCCACACGAUUAUUUUUUCGAGUGUUUUUUAUAUGAAGAAAAUAGGCAAAGUACAUUAUUUAAAUUAAGACAUUUGAGUGCAAAGCACGAUGUCCUUAACCAGGAUUGGAUGUGUGCAUGAUCGUUAUGAGAACCCGUCAUGAGCUUUUAAGCUGGACGAUGCUCCUUCGGGAAUGCCCAUUGUCAACGAAUGUCGGUCGCAGUGGAGGCUGGGCCGAUGCUCCUUCGGUAAUGUCAUCUAGAGGUAGACGUUGCCGUGCUCAAUAAGGUGAGACGACACCCGGCUAUACCGGAUGACCGCUGACUGUUAAGUUAGCCGUGGCCAUUAGGUCAUAAUCAAUUGGGACAUUUGUCUGAGUGAGAUAUAACCUCACCUAAUUACGGGACAAAAUUGUGUGGCACGAAAUGGGACGUGUCAUAACGAUUUGGCCUUAUAAUCGAGACCCCGUGAUUGAUUGAUUUGAAAGUGAGGCGUUCCAAUUGUUGAGUGCAAUUACUACAUAUAUAUGUUUUAUGAGCUGUGCUAACGUGCAGGGAGGUGCUGAGAUGAGAUAAGUUUUCUAUGAUGUGUGAUUUGACUGUCUCUAGAUGUAUUAUCUUACUAAUCGAGGUUUAGGGCGUGAAUUCGCUAAGAAAUCGUCUCACCCUGUCAUGGGUUUCAAUCUUUACAGGUCCCUAAAUGGAAGUCUGUCCAGUUCAUUUUGGGCAGCCACAAGGGUAUAGCGAGCAGAGUACCGUCUUCCCUGUCCCCGGGAAUCUCUGGACCCGUGAGCUCAUCAUGACCAUGAUCUUGGUCGAUAAGAGCCUACCUUAGUUGGUACCUCAUCGAUUCAAGGUGUAGUUUCGUCACGGGCCUAACGGAGAACGGGGAGGUCCCAUGGAUGAUUUCGAUGGACCCGCCGUUGAGGGUGAGGGUGAGGAGAUACUCGACCCUGUAGUGGACACCGAUAUUAUCACAAAUAUCGAGGCGAACUAGUUGCAUGAGGAUGAGCAGGAGCCCAAAGUUGAGGAAGUAGCUGACCCGCUAGACAUCGACAUUCCUAACGGUGUCGUAGUGGACCCAGAUCCCAGGUAGGAGGGUCAGAGGUAGGGUUAGCUAGGUAGUCAUUUUUUGGGGCCUUGACUUUUGUUUAUAACUUUGCAGGCUGACCUGGUUGGUUUAUAAAAGUGUGUUUUGUGUUAUCUAAUGGUCUUGCUUUUAUAUCCUAUGUUGAUUGUUGUUUGGGGAUUGUUUCUUUCGCUUCCGCAUGUGCAUGAAUCAUUUGAGUUGGCGACACGUCCUGGGAACAUCGUAAUUUGAUCGACCACCGAGGGAUGUGCGCACGCCCGAGGUUCGGGGCGUGACACGCACCAUAUAUGAUUAUCCCUAUUUUAGCUACUCAGAUUCUUCUCUAGGUCAAUGGUACCUUAUUUCAUGGCCUUCACUAUCUAUUCACUCUACCUUCAAGUUAAGAGCUUAUUUUGAUACUGACUAGUUAUAAAUCCUUAAUUGUUGCCUAAGUAGCAUUGAUAUCGAUGCGAGACACGUGACAUGACAUGACACAUCGACACAUCGUUUAUAAAAAAAUAUAGAAUUUCGAAGGACACGUUGUAUAUUAAAUGUAUAUUUUUAUAUAUACAUGAUAAAUUAUCAUUUUUAUGAUUGUUUUGAUCAAAUUAAUUUGAUUCAAAUUCACAAAUAAAUCAAACCUAGAAUGACAUUACAUUAAAAAAACAUUAAUCCACCAUUUGUUAGUCUUAUUCAUUAUUUUGGUUUGACAAAUUCAACUCUAUUCCAGUAAUCCAUAAAACUUUGAGGAAAAAAAAACAAUCCACAUUUUGUAUUUGCAUGUUAGAGUGUGUCGAAAGAGAAAAGGAAAAAAAAACUUGGAGGUAAAUUGUGUGUCACGAGAAGCAAGAGUGGGAAGAGAAGAUAAGACAAGACAAGUUUUUCUUCUUUCCCUCUUUAUUUUUUUAUUUUUUUUAUUUUUUACGUAUUUAUAUCUUGACCUCUCAUUUAUUGAAAAUUUUAAAAAUUAAUCCCAUGUGUGUCGAAAUUUCGAACUCGCAUGUCGAAAUUUCGGACUCACUCGCAUGUCGAAAUUUCGGACUCAAGUCUUAGGAGAGUCAACCAAGUGUUGGAAUUAUGUAUCGAAAUUCCAAAUUCACAUGUCGAAAUUCCAGACUUGAGUAUCGGAUAGUGUUGGGAAAAUUGACCAAGUAUCGGAUUUUUCGACACGUAUUAACCGAGUGUCGAAGAAUGUUAGAAAGUAUCGAACAUGUAUCGAAGUGUUCGACAUGACCCGGAGACUUCUGAAGAAUGUCGAUGCUUCAUAGACCGUUGCUCUUCUAUAGCCUGUUGUUUCUUUUUAGGUAUCUCAAUAAUCUCAUGUUGUAGCAAAAAAUAGGCCAACAACGCUUGAUGUUGUAUGGAAGUAGACCAACACGCUCUUGCUAAUACGAUUAUCGGAAAUUCUAUGUCACGGUGUUUACUGGAAGAGAUGAGAGUUCGUCAUAAUGGUAGGACGGUCAUUUAAUGCAACAACUAGAGUGCUAUUUAAAUAGCAUAACGAUGUUUUCUAUUAAUGCAUCAAACAAUGAAUUAGACUAUAAUUUUAUAUGGUAUUACAUCUUCAUUUCAUCGUUCAUUUUGGCUUAAACUUCAUCAAUUGAUUAGACCGUUGUUGAUGUCUUCACUAAUCCACCUAGGUUUUAUUCUUUUUUAUUUUUUAUUUUUCCAAACAUCAGUUGACUUGUUCUACACCACCUUAAGCUUGAUAGGAUAUUGGAAAUAAAAAGGAGAUUCUUCAUAUCUCCCUUGAUCCUCGAUUUCUCUCAUAAACGUGCAUACCUCUCCCUCAUUGUGCAUAUCCUUGUUUGAUGGUGUUAAUUGUAAUAGAUAUUGUAAUAUUAUGUAAUCUUAAAUAGUCAUACUGUAAAACCUAUAAAUAACCUCAUGUACUUUUCAUUAUGAAAUACAUGGGCAUUGUACAAAUCUUGUCUGCAUAUUCCUAUAUGAGGUUGUCACACCCAAACUCCAACAAAAAUAAGGAAAAUAACGUGGUCGUCCUUCUACCUAAAAGACGCAGUCUCAAAUAUAAUCAACAUUAACUUAUUAUUAUUAUUAUUAUUAUUAUUAUUAUUAUUAUUAUUAUUAUUAUUAUUAUUAUUAUUAUUAUUAUUAUUAUUAUUAUUAUUAUUAUUAUAUCCAUAAAUAUAUUUGAUAAACAGCAAUCCAGUUGAAGAAUUAGAGUUUUAAUAUCCAUCAAAAAGAGGAUAUGUACAUAUCCAAACUCAAUUGAACCCAACAAUUAUCUAUAGAUAUUUUGAACUUGGGAAUGCCCAAAAUCAAACAACGUAGCCAUUCGAGCAUACAAUCACCCGAACAACGUAGCUUUUCAAGCCUACAAUCAUGUAAGCUAGGCGCUGCGAAACAAGUUUAAUUCAACUUGGCGAGUAGGGAGAAAACCCUUUCUUUUCUUCUUUAUUUCCUUUCUUUCUCAUUUUCUUUCUUCUUUUCCCUAUGUACUUGCACGUUUUCUUUUAUAACUCUUCCUCUCUCUUUUUUUUCCUACUUCAUCUAUUUUUACAAAAACCCCGUACAUUUUGACCAAGUUAAAGAAAAGCCAAUAUUAUAAUAUGCCUUCUUUAAACGAAAUGUGGUUCUUGAAAUUCGAAUACUUCAACUUCAAACAAAUGAGAGUAUUUGUGUCUUACCUCUUUAAGUUCCCAUGUGACCUCGGUCAAUAAGUGAUAGCUCAUAUAGCAUUCUCUCGGUAGAUCAAUAAUAAAGUACAUUGUGACAUACUCCCACUUCCAUUUAGGUACCUUAAGAGCUUGCAGCCAUCCACCCAUUAAUGCUCAAUUUUCACUUGUUUAUAAGUUAGACAUGGAUUGACAAAUUGUACAAUAUCAUUCUUCCAUUGAAUUCUACCAGAAGUAUUCUCUCCAAUCCCCAUACAUUUUUGUGCCCUGCAGGAAUUGAGAAUGAGGUUAUGAGCUUUCUGCAAUAUCUCUUUUUUCAAAUCCAAAUCAUCAGGGAUCCACAACCAACCGGGAAAUUGAAAGAGAGGUGUGCCUUCUAUUCCUUCUCUGAUUUGCAUCAGCUAGGAAUUUUCAUUCUAUCUAGAGUUGAUUCUCUCAAUCAAGAUAGGUUGUAUUAAGAGAUUAGAUAAUUCAGCACUAAACUAAUAAACCAAUACCUCCAAAUCUACUUUCUUAUAUCCUCAAAAUAGACUUUUGAGUGGUGAAUAAGUUUGUGAAUUUUUCCCAAGACUUACAACUUAAGAGCAUCUGUGGCUACGUUUGUCUUGCUUGGAUGAUAAUUGAUAGUCAAAUUAUAGUCUUUCAUAAGUUCUAAUCAUCCCCUCUGCCUCAUGUUCAUCUCUUUCAAGUAAAAAUGUUUGUUUUGAUUCCUGUGAUACGUAAAUAUUUCACAUUUAUCACCAUACAAGUUGUGCUUUAUGUGAUUUCAAAUGUCUGAAGGCAGAAGCCUGACUUAAUCAUAUUGCAUCACCGAAAUUAUAAAAUUCUUUUUUCCAUCCACUUCCACUAUACAUUUUCUAAUUUUGCAUUUAUUGCUUAGUCUUCCCAUUUGGCAUCACAAUCCUCGAAUGAAUCCACCAAAAAUUAUUACUUGCAAGUUAUCAUGCUUAAAAGAUCACAUUAUUUAAAAUUCGCCCAUCAAGUAUCACGAGAUAAUUAACUCUUAAUACACACAAGACAAGAUCCACGAAAUCAUUAUAUUGAAAAUUGACCGUGUACUUCCAAUCAUAAUACUAAAAUAAUGAUCCUUUUCUUCAAAUUCCAACCACAACUGAUUCCCAAAACAAUUUACCCUAGUCCUCUCUAGAUUCUGAGAUUUCAAACGAUCAUAUCUGAAAACCACAAAUCUUAUUAAAGAAUAUCACUACUUAAGAGAUCACUUAUGAUUGAAUGCCUAUAACUUCCAAAUUCACCGAGAUAAGGACUUAUCUAGUUUCCCUUAAAUUCGAUGGGUCUCAAGUUCUCAACUUAAAAUUAUCGUCACUUAAACUUCUUAUUUCUUAAACCAAAGACUUAAGUACUCGCCUCAUUACCAAAAGAAAUCCGCAACUGAAAUUGGCAGUAUCCACUAGUUUCCAUGAAAUUGGCAGUAUCUACGGUAUCAUAAUCUGCUACUCAGAAAUUUACAAGCUACAAGCAUAAUGAGUACACAUAUUAUUUCGACCCAUAAGCCACAAGUAAAUCUAUGUUUCAAAAGACAAUUCAAGUUUAUAACUUCAAAAAUUAUUUCUUGUCAUGCCAAAUAUCGCUAUAUAACGCAUCAAAACUUUCAAUAUAAAUUCUCGUUUUCUAAUCAGGAAAUAGUAACCUAUCUCAACUAAUCACGAUGUAAUUCUCAAAAUCACAACUUACUAACUAAAGAUCAUACCUUAUCAUAAAAAUGAUCAUGGCUUAUCACUGAAGGAUUGACGCUUUCAUUGUACAAAUUACAAUUAAAACUUUAUUAUCUAAAUCCAUCUAAUUACACCAAUAAUUAAAGCCCAACCAUUUUCAAACUGAAAUAUAUUUUGAUGUAAUCAAUAACUUGUGACUCCUAGAAUAUUAUCCAAAAACCCCAAGAAUCAUCACUUGCUACAUGAGGUUAAUGUUAUUAUUUAACACUUUUAAAAUCCUUAUCUGGAUACAAUUCUUACGGCUUAAAAGUCAUAACCUAGAUUCCUAAAGGAUUAUAACUUAUCAAACACUCUGUUACUUGGACAGGGUGUACGAAUAUCGACACGUUAAAAUAAAGAACACAUCCAGGCUGAACGCCGGAUUACCGGACUAGCAUUGGAAGCUCUUGUUGAAAGGUUGCUUCCUACUGGUUAGACACAUGCUUCGCACAAUGUCUAAAAGUGGCAUGUCUAAGUAGUGCCCCCUAGUUCUACACACUAUGCUAGGUCACAACUUACUACUUACACAAUCCUUAUUCCACAAAGUUUAUUAUAAAAUUAAGUCCAUAUGCACAAGCAAUCUACUCUCUUCUUAUUUAACCACUUAAUCACUAGUCUACCUUGUCACUCCGUUAUAUAUGUCGCGUUUAUAAAUUGGACAAAAAUGCAUUCUUUGUCGUUCUCCAAAUUGACAGCCACACUUCUACUUAAUUCAUUCAUUUGGGGAUGCAAAUCAAUCACCAUUUGACAAACUUCAACUUAAUCAGUUUUAGUGAUAGGCUGGUGGCCCUCAUCGCUUACUUCGCGCGAGUGAAGACUCAGAUCAUAAUGAUCCUUUUUAUCUCUUUAUCAAAAUUGCACUUGUAGAUACUUAAGAUAUAUUCUCAGUAGCAAAAGUAAUAACUCACUUGUCUUCGCUAUCCUUUACAAAGUGAAGCAUAUUUCUCGUAAUCAGAAUUGAAGAUCACUUGGACCCAAAAUGAAACAUAUAUCUUAGUACCUAAUAAAAGACUAAAGUGUUAUAAACUAACACAUAACACUGAACUCUAUAAUAUUGGCCAUCAAUUUGACCAGGUCAAGAGUGGUGGUGCCCAAAUGAAAAAAAAAAAUGUUGAAAAGUCAAAGAGAGGAAAAGUGAGCUCAACUUAUGCCAUGGACAGAGAGCACGCGCGGAAGAAGAAAAGAAGCAUAGGAAAAGAAGAAAAGAAAAAAAAAAAAAAAAGAAGAAGAAGCAAGAAAAAAGAGGGUACUCGCCACAGACGCCUCGCCAACCCAAUUUAAUUCGGUAUCACAAUGCCUGGUAAGGAUUUAAGCCCUUCACUCUUCCAAUCGGAGUAGUUUUCAGAGGUAGGUCCUAUAUUCAAAGUUGUGUGAAAAUCAAGCUGUGAAGUCCCGUUUUUGAGUUGCUGAGAUUUGAAAUUUCGUGCAAAUUGUGGAUUAUGGCGUCAUAUAGCAGUGGGAAAUGACUGGAGUUGUUUUAGAGCAGUGUUUGGUUGAAGUGAGAAUUUUAGGUUUUGUGAGCAAGUUUUGCGUUGCAUUUAUGUUUGAAUAGUCAUUUCAAGUGAGUGAUUUGUUACCACAUAGGAGUCGUUUUGUUACCAUUUAAGCUUAGUAUAGUCAUUUCAUAGUUGAGGUAGAGUUUUACUCGAUUUUCACGUCAAUUCUCAUUUAAUUGAUAUGAUUACGAGAUCACUCAUUCGAGUAAGUUUUGUUGUUUGGUUUUGCAAGUAAGUGGUGCUAUCUCUUCUUUGAAUUUGUAGAUGCAAGUCUUGAAAGCAAUAAACAUUUGAUAUAUUGUAAGUUAUUAAAAGCAUGCUUGUUGCAUAAAAUUUGGGAUCGAGUACUACGAUUUGGUAUCUGUGAAUGGUUUGCCAAAUGUUCUAGAAAAGUUGUCGCGAAAGAUAGAUAUUAAUUCAUGAACCUGUUUUAUGAAAUGGAUUUUGAAAUGGUUUGUGAAACGUGUUGUAAUUUAUGAAAUAGUUUCUGGAUUUGGUUUGGGGGGUUAUUGGACAAGAGGUUUAUACUCAAUAUCAUUGUAGACGCAUCGAGUGAUUUGUAUGUAUACUAAAUUAGGAUGUCCUUGUGGGCUUGCCAUCAAUAACAUAAGUGGAGACCUUGUCAAGAUGAGAGCUUGGUCACAUUCUUACGAGGUAUUACAAGUGAUCAUGGUUAGAUAUCUAAGCCCAAGAUUGGCCAAUGGAAUGGACCAUUAGUAUGUGAUUUUGAUGAAAUUGAUCAAUGGAAUAAACUAUUAAAGUGAGUUGUUGAGAUUGAUUAAUGGAUUAAACUAUUGAUGUUUAUUAUGAUAUUAUCGAUUUAACGAAUGUUUUCUUAUAUGUAUAUUGUUAUGUCAAAGAGAUAUACCUCAUUAUUAUUUUGUAUGUGUAUUACAUGAUGGAAUUGAAAUAAGUGAGUUUUGAAUAUUGUUUUGUAAAGUGCAUAGUGAGUGCUGGAUCUGCUUAAAAAAGAUAUGCACUACUCACUGAGUUGUGGUUGCUCACUCUUUUCCUUCCCAAAUUUUUCAAGUUUCUUAGUUAACGGCCGAUAGUAUGAGAACGCUAUUAACAAUAAUUGUUAGGAGCUGGACUUUUAGGUAUAGUUUGAGAUUAAGAAGGACGGCUCUAUGAUUAUCCCUAUCCUUGUAGGAUUUGGGGUGUGACAAUUUCAAUGAGAAUAGAGGAAAUGACACGAUUGCCCUCUUAUCUGAAGGACGCGGCUUCAAACAUAACCAUAGUUAACUAGUCAUCAAAUAUAUAUCUACCUCCUCUAUGUAUAUGAUAAACAGUAAUCCGAUUAAGUGAUCGGAGUUUUAAAAUCCAUCAAAAAGAGCAUAUAUACAUAACUCGACUGAACCCAACAACUAUCUAUAGACAUAUAAAUUCUAUAGACAUAAAAAUCUAUCUUGUCUUGUACCAAAUAUCUAACUACCAAAAGAUCCCAACAUAGCACUCCCGUCCUACUUGCCACUAACCAAGAACUUGGAAAUGUCCAAAAUCAAACAAUGUAGCAAUUCAAGCCAGCGAUCUUGUAAUCUGGGCACUAAAAAAUGAAAUUAAUCCCAUGAGGUCUCCAUGGCGUGUACCGAGAAACCCUUUCUUUUCUUCUUUCUCUCUUUUAUUUUCUUUCUUUUUUUUCCCUCCGUAAUUUCUUUUUAUAACUCUUCUUUUUCUUUUCCUUUUUUUAUUUAUUUAAAAAAAAGGCCACCUCUUUUGACCAAGUCAAAAGAAAUCCAAUAUUACAGAGAUAAUGAAGGAGAGUCACACCAAACCUAGAGUGGAUAUAUAUAUAUAUAAAUAGUUCAAAUCACAAGCCAGCCACGUGUUCCCUAGUCUCUUUCGAGAGGGGAACACCCUAUCAUUUCCUUGUACCACACCCGGGCAGACCUCGGGAAAGGCAUCGCGAGGAUCAAGGUGGGUUCCAAACCCUUCCUUUCGGAUGGGUUGUGGCGGGAGAGCCCUGUGGGGAUGUUAUCCCAUACUACCUCCCCUCACUUGCCUUAAAUGGCUUGUGAGGAGAAGUCCACCCGGGAUAUCCAAUUCAGGAGGGAACCUUUUAAGGACUUGUUCAAGUCCAAUGGAUAUAUAUAAAUAGUUCAAAUCACAUUCAGUUCGAGAUAAGCCUGGUUUCCAAGCACUCGUGACAUCUGAAUGUGAACUGGGUGACCUUCAUUAUUGCCAAAGUCAACUCUUUGCUUUUUUUUCGACCCAGUUUUAACUGAGGAAUGAAGCAACAUCUUAUUCUGAUGCAAUACGAUUAAAUGACAUCAGGACCGACAGUUGACUUUAAAUACACAUAAUCGGGCCUGCUUCUAUUAGCCAUCCAGCCAAUCGCAGCAAAGUCCCCAGAAUGCACUACAACUAUCUAACGUAAUAUUUUACCAGGCACGCAAUUGAACCAAAGCUUUGUUUUGACUUUUCUGCACUAUUUUACCAUCCUACGGAAGGAAAGCAACUUUUGAUGCGAUGAAGGUGCAGGGAAUUGCCACCAAGCGAUCAACACGACUCAAGGCCUACUUCGUUUCAGCAAAUUACAGAUGCCAACAAGUAUACACAAUUAUCGGACAAAAUGCUUUUAGUAACGAUUAAAAGGUCUAAUGCUUGAUCGCAUUCUGCAUAGCAACUUACACAUCGGGUGUGAUAUUCUUCUGAAGUGAAAAAAGUAAAACAUCAGCAUCAUCUGGCGCUAGAUCCAGAGGAGCACACAUCAAGAUUAUGAUAACGGUUAUGCAGAUGUAUCUUACUUGGUUAAUUUCUAGCAUCUCUAGACUUUGAUGCAAGAGCGGUAAUCCCCUUUUCAUUUUUCUAUUCGGUACAAGAAACGGAAAAUAAAAAUAGCAGUUUUGCUCUUUCAGCUGGAACCGCUCCUUUUGCAUUUGGUAUGCAGUUGGAAUCAUUAUAUAUUACAAUAAACCAUCAUGGCCUGUCACUAUUCCAGAUUCUCGUACCUAGGGGGAAAAAAGAGAAAAAAAAAAAGAGAGAGAGAGAGAAUUUCUCAUGUUCGAGUAUGCUUUCUUUUUCAUUCUUUCUCUGUCUUGUCUGACGAAGCAAGCAAGCAAAGAAAUAUUACCGUCAUUAUUAUCGUUCUUGAGAUUAUAUAUUCUCUGCAGUUGGUUGAGGCCUCCUUCUACCACGAACUGAACACAAAUUCAGAGGAACGAUUGGCAGAGGGUGCAAGCAAAAACGGCCUGUGGCGAUAGAAAUUCAAUGUCCAUAAUUGCAAGGUAAAGCUCUCUUUUCUUGAAUUUCUGGGAAACUUUUAGUGCUUUAGCUGUUCAAAAGAUCUUAUGACAAAGGAUAGUUCAAUCAUCUGUGACUGUGCGUGCGUGCGUAACAUCUGAAUUGCAUGUUUGGAGGCAUAACUCUGAUAGGCUAAAAAUACAGAGAGGGACAUGAAUUCGUUUCCGUGGGACUGCCAACAGUGAAGCAAGACAGCUUGAGCAAUCUAAAACCGAAUGAGGACUCCCUGAGCCAAAACUUGGCCUUGUUGAAGAGUACCAGCCGGAAGGCUGGUGAAUACUUGAAAUCCAAAGUUCUGCGGAGAGUGUUCUCUGAGGACUAUGAGAAGGUGAAGAAUAAGAUUUUCGAUCCAAGAGGUCUAACCAUUCAUCUAUGGAACAGAAUCUUCUUGACGGCUUGCCUGAUCAGUCUAUUCAUGGACCUUCUUUUCUUUUACGUGCCGUCGGUCAAUGACAAUUAUCUGUGCUUUUAUGAUGCAAAUGGCCUCAAGAUCCUCCUGACAGUCCUAAGAUCGAUAGCAGAUGUCUUUUACAUUAUUCAAGUCAUUGUUCAGUUUAACACGGCUUUCAUUGCGCCCUCUUCCCGGGUGUUUGGAAGAGGAGAGCUUGUGAUAGAUUAUAGAAAGAUUGCGUUAAGAUACUUGCGGAGCCGCUUCUGGAUUGAUCUCUAUGUGGCACUUCCUCUUCCUCAGGUUCCAUCCUUUCGUUUAAGUACAACUACCGCAGUUAAUUACCAUGAAGCAAUUGCUGGAACUAAUUGAAAUCUGUCCUUUUAGAUAUUAAUCUGGGUAAUAAUUCCUACCCUUCCUGGUUCGGCCACGACAAAAACGAAGAACCUGUUCCUACUUGUCAUCUUCUUUCAGUACAUACCAAGAAUUUUUCUUAUUCUUCGGCUUCGGUCACAAAUUAGUAACGCCGGUGGUGGAUUAGCAAAGAAAGCAUGGGAAGGGGCUGCAUUCAAUCUGAUGCUCUACCUGUUGGCCAGUCAUGUAAGUGUAGCAAGGCCUUCUUUUUAGAUUCAGUUUUCCCAAACAAGGAAUUAGACUUUUCCUAUGUGUCCAAAACAAGUUUUGGUGACGUUUUAACUUCAUUGACAACGAGCAAAUUUCACUGCUGUCUUUAAUCCAAGAGAAGAUACAUUUAAACAGGCAAUUUCUUUGUAUUUGGAGCUUGUCCAUGGAGCAAUUCAGAUUUAACAAAUAGGGACAUACACACGCUCUUUUGAUCCACAUACUCCUGCCAUUUUUAUAUUUGUACUCAAGUGUCCAUUAAAAGGUCUGCAACAUGCUUUUUUGAUCCAUUCUCCAUCAUUUCAGGAAAUAAAGUUACGGUCUUGUUCUGCUCUUCUUCUUUUUUCUUUUUUUUUUGAAAGGGUUAUGUAAUCAGGGUCCUCAUUAGGCUGCAUGAAAGAGCAAUUUAUUUGUUUCCAUUGUACAUUGAUAGGCUACAGGAGCUUCCUGGUAUCUUCUAUCAUUUGGGCGACAAAUGUCUUGCUGGAGGAUGGUCUGUGACCAAGAAAGUCCGCCAUGCCAGUACAGUUUCCUUGAAUGUCCCUACGCACAAGACCCUGGUAGGGUCACCUGGUAUGGGACGACCAAUAUCACAACUCUGUGUGAUGGAACCGAUGCUAAUAGCCCCAUUCAAUUUGGCAUAUAUUACAAUGCUAUGAUUAGUUCCGUUGGAAGCUGCAAAUUCUUCAGCAAGUACUUUUACAGUUUGUGGUGGGGUUUGAACAACUUGAGGUAUUCUCAGUUCUACCUAUUUACUGUGCCCGCGGGAAAAUUUGCCAUUUUAGAAUGGUUACUGGUCAUUGCUUUACGUUUGAACAAUGAGUAUUAUUGUUGAGAAUGUUAUCUUGUAUAUCCAAUAGGAACUUAGCAAGAACUGUUUGUUUUUUGUCUUGCAGCUACUGCGAUUUUGAGAUCCUGCAUGUCUCUACUUCCUAAAAAAUGAAUCUUUAAUCUAGUGUAGUCGUUUUUGUUUUUCAAUGACAGAAAGAAGUAUGAAUGCAUGAUUUUGCAGAAUUGUGAAUUCACUAACUAGUAUUGAUGCUGAGUGCUUUCUGUCCAUCACUUACAAGACUCUCUUCUGAUCGAUGUAUACAGCUCCAUGGGGCAAAACCUUGAAUUUACAUCAAGCACUUAUGUUGCAGAAUUACUCUUCACAAUCGCGGUUGCUAUUAUUGGACUUAUUUUAUUUACCCUGGUCAUUGGAAAUAUGCAAGUAAGCAACCCAAGCAUCUUGAGUUAACUCAGAUGGUGGUCUAGUUCGGGGAUUCAUUCCGUGCCUUUCUUAAUUCAAUAAUGUUGCUUUCACUACUUUGUAAAUAUAGUUCGAUAGUUGUAGCUUUUUGCGUGGUUUCUGGAGUGAUCAUUAUUACUAAGAGUUAGGUUUAUCAUCAGUAUUACUACAUCCCGUCAUGAUGGUGAAAUAUUGUUUCACUUUUUAUCGAUAGCAAUACCUUCAAACUACGAACAACCAGUUAGAGCAAUGGAGGCUCAAGAGGACAGAUACAGAGCAAUGGAUGCACCAUAGACAUAUACCUCCCGAGCUGAGGGAGUCUAUUCGGAUGUACGACCAAUACAAGUGGGUGGCAACUCGAGGUGUUGAUGAAGAAUGCCUUCUCAAGGACUUCCCGAUGGACUUGCGCAGAAAUAUCAAGCGCCAUCUUUGCUUUGAUCUAGUUCGACGUGUAAGCUGUCUAAUCACAUAUGCUUCUAUGAAUCGGUUGUUGCAGUAUAGUUUUCAUUUUGGAAGCAGCUAGUGAUUUUCUUUCCCAGAGAGAACCGACUCUUCUUCAUCUACAUCUGGAAUUAACAGGUGCCACUUUUCAAUCAAAUGGAUGAGAGGACGCUGGACGCGAUAUGUGAGAGGCUGAAGCCUGUUUUGUGCACAGGAAACAUGUACUUAGUACGCGAAGGUGAUCCAGUCCGAGAGAUGUUCUUCCUGUUCCGAGGGCACCUUGACUCCUGGACAACCGAUGGUGAAUGCAUGGGAUUUUACAACUCAAGUCGUCUAAUCCCCGGUGACUUCUGCGGCGAAGAACUGCUAACAUGGGUCCUUGACCCACGCCCAAGUAUUGUGCUCCCCUCUUCCACCUGCACAGUGAAAGCUGUGAAAGAAGUGGAAGCGUAUUCUCUUGCUGCUGAGGACCUAAAGUUUGUCGCGUCGCAAUUCAGAAGACUGCACAGCAGAGAACUGAGGCACAAGUUUAGGUUCUACUCGCACCAGUGGCGUACGUGGGCUGCAUGUCUUAUUCAAUGCUCAUGGCGCCGUCAUAAAAUGUCCCCUCUUCCACCUGCACAGUGAAAGCUGUGAAAGAAGUGGAAGCGUAUUCUCUUGCUGCUGAGGACCUAAAGUUUGUCGCGUCGCAAUUCUGAAGACUGCACAGCAGAGAACUGAGGCACAAGUUUAGGUUCUACUCGCACCAGUGGCGUACGUGGGCUGCAUGUCUUAUUCAAUGCUCAUUGCGCCGUCAUAAAAUGUUGAAGAAGGAAGUUAAGCUAAGAGAGAGAGAAGAUAGUGUGAAUGGUAAGUUGAGACCUUUAAGGUCGUUUUGGGACGUGUAUGCGACAGAGCUGAUAGAGAGCACCAGAAGGGAUGAGAAAAAACAAGCUGGGUCAACUUCUGAUGCUGUGAACACAAUACAGAAACCAGUGGACCUGGCUUUUGCUGAGGAAUAUUAGGACUUGCUGAUGGCAAUCACAAAGCAUCGAGGCCUUGCCCUUUUAUGUAAAUUAUACAGCUUCACCAUAGACCUGAGUAAUGUAAUCUACUUCAGUCGUACAUGUAAGGAUCCAGGCCCCCAUAGACCUGAGUAAUGUAAUCUACUUUAGUCGUACAUGUAAGGAUCCUAGACCUGAGUAAUGUAAUCUACUUCAGUCGUACAUGUAAGGAUCCAGGCCCCCAGACCUGAGUAAUGUAAUCUACUUUAGUCGUACAUGUAAGGAUCCAGGCCCCACUGUAUGAUAUUAUCCGCUU
rnacentral:lncRNA from 1 species